GUUCAUAUGGCUGCACGACGUCUCGGGCUGAAGCCUACGUUGUAAUGUUGUGCUUAUAUGAUCCUUGGACAAGAUUUGUCCGAUGUGUGAGUAAGCGGCCAUCUUGAGUGUGACACUGACUCCAAAGGAGAGACCCAACAUGGCCACACGCUCGGCCAUCACCCUGGGGUGCUGCUGCAGGAAUGUGAAGGCUUUCUGCAUGCACACAGAAUGCAAUAUAAUCAGUUACCUUGGCAACACAAAGAUAUCACAAAACUGUUAGGGCCGCUGCCCCUCCCUCCUGAGACCUGGCCCACCUUGGGCAGGUGUGCGUGUUUUUAGUCUAAUUGCAGGUUGGACGUCAGACAGGUGGAGCGGCCAUAGGUGCUGGAAAUGACAAUCAUCAGUCUUCAAAAGCCAGCGGAUGCUGCCACCUCGUCACCCGAUUAACUAGUCUGUUUACCACGUCCUGACUUUGCGCGCCUCUCGUUGGUUUCCACACCUGCCUCCUUCCGAGCUUCCAAGUCUCACACCGGCCCCGCUACCCCGAGCAGAGCGAUCUACACCUGCCACGUUCUCUUGUGCUUGCAAAUAAAACUGACUCGCCAC